UACGGGGGGGGCAAGCGUUGUUCGGAAUUACUGGGCGUAAAGGGCUCGUAGGUGGCCAACUAAGUCAGACGUGAAAUCCCUCGGCUUAACCGGGGAACUGCGUCUGAUACUGGUUGGCUUGAGAUUGGGAGAGGGACGCGGAAUUCCAGGUGUAGCGGUGAAAUGCGUAGAUAUCUGGAGGAACACCGGUGGCGAAGGCGCAUCCUGGACCGACACUGACACUGAGGAGCGAAAGCCAGGGGAGCAAACGGG
rnacentral:rRNA from 1 species